AUUCCUGUUACCCACCCCACCCCCGCUGUCGACGAUGGUCUCGCCCCGGGUCAAACCACUCCUCCGGUUCCGGGCAGGGAACGCCGGGGCCCAGGCGCAGCCAUCCUGGAGCUGAGCUUUCGGUCCGGGCUCCCUGCCCGUGCCCGGCAGCCGCUCCAGAAACCGAGCCCUCCCGGGCCCGCCCUCACCUGUCACGCCGCUACAGCCGCCGCCGUCUCCAUCUUGGGCCUCUCUUCUUGUUUCCUCACAGAGUCCGCCUCCGUCGCCUCUCGGACUCUCGUUAUUGGCUCUGCGGGACUCAGCCUUCCACCCUUAUUGGGUCAGGGUCACGUCUGUCAAGGCAAGACCAACGGAAUGCUACCAAUAUGACAGUCGCUGAACCAGAUUUAAAAGAGAUGCACAAAAUCCGCUCUGGUGAGCCAGCUACAACAUGCUACUAUUACAAUAUGUCUGCACAAAAACUUGUAUGCAAAUGUUCAGAUUAGCUUUUUCUUAAUAGCAAAAAACUGGAAACAGCCCAGGUGUCCAGAAACAGAACUGACAAAAAAAUACAACAAUGGGAUUAUGGAAUACUACUCAGCAAUGAAAGGGAAUAAAUUACUGACAUAUAGGAAGAGCAUAGAUGAAUCUCGUAGACAUGGGGCAAAAUGAAAAAAGCCAGACACAAAAGAGAAAUACUGUAUUCCACCCAUAUGAAAUCUAAACCAGGCAAAACUAAUCUAUAGUGAAGGAAAUCACAUUAGAUGUUGUUUUGAGGGAGAAUGACUGAGAAGUGCAUUAAAGAACUUUUGCAGGUGAUUGGAAUGUUCUGUAUGCAUUUGUCAGAACUCAUUGAACUCUAUUUUUAUUAUUAUCUUUUUUUAUUUUUGAGACAGAGUCUGGCUCUGUCACCCAGACUGGAGUGCAGUGGCACGGUCAUGGCUCACUGCGCCUUGACCUCCUGGGCUUAAGUAAUUCUCCCACCUCGGCCUCCCAAGUAGCUGGGAUUACAGGCAUGCACCACCACACUCAGCUAAUUUUUAAAAUUUUCUGUGUAGAUGGAGUCUCACUAUGUUGCCCAGGCUGUUCUUAAACUCCUGGGCUCAAGUGAUCCUCCCACCUCGGCCUCCCAAAGUGCUGGGAUUACAGGCAUGAGCCACCUUGCCCAGCCUCAUUGAACUCUACACUGAAAAUGGAUAUAUUUUGCUUUAUGUGUAAUAUACCAGAAUAAGAACUGCAUGGCAAAAAAAAAAAAAAAGAAGAAGGCCACAAACAUAAUUCUAAACAUUUGUUUCUUAGAAAUUCUUAUUGGUUAGAGAAAUUAUUUUGAAAAAAUUCUUUUUUCUGAAAUUAAAUCCCUAGACCCUGAAUCUCCAUCUCCCACUGCAGGAGCCCUGGCAAACACCUCAGUGCCAGUGGGGUCAGGAACAACUCCUGUUUGGAGCUCAGUGAGGGGCUUUGGGGAGGGGAAUAGGGGAGUGCAUUUUACAUUUCAAUUCACUUAAAUAUUUAAUUUGUUUAAAAACUUUAAUUUCUAGGCAGUAUUUGAAGACAGACCUCUGGCUCCAUCGUUCAACGUUUACAAAAAGAUGAGAAAAAUGCCAGCAAAAGCUCAUUGCUUUUGCAGGAUGGGGGAAGGAGGGGAAGGGUAGGGGACAUAGCCCACUCAAAGGCAAUGCUUUCUCCCCCAAGGACUCAUAGACUCACUUCACACCCAUCUCAACUGGCACUUCAGCCAAGUACCUUACAGGUACCUGACACUUUAAAGCAUGAAGUCCUUUAAAGUGAUUUAGGUUUGGUUUUCUUUUGUUUUGCGACAGAGUCUCGCUCUGUCACCCAGGCUGGAGUGCAGUGGUGCAAUCACAGCUCACUGCGGCCUCGACCUCCUGGGCUCAAGCCAUCUUCCCAGAAAGCUGGGACCACAGACGCAUGUCACAGCGCCUGGCCUUUUUGACUUUUUGUCAUUAUCAUCACCACCAUAUUUAAACCAUUAGAAGUACCAUGUAUUAAGACAAAAAUUAAAACCCAAACUAGUUGAUUAUAGUUUUCUGACAUCCCCCUUGUAAUUAUCCAUCUGGAAAAAAAUGUAAAGUUAUCAAAGUACUUGUUGGUUUUUAUUGUUGUUCAUUUUAAAGUCUCAGAAAUAUGUCUGAAAAUUUUUUAAAAUCUGAAGUGUUCACCGACUGCCGUUGUAAUGCUACUUUUAUAGCUGAGGACAUUAAGGUUCAGGCUGCCCUAACCAGAGGGGAAAAGGAGAGAGUGCUCCAGGACUUCGUUUGAUAAAAAGUGUUUAACAAGGGUGCGGGCCAUGGGCACCUCCUUAAGGAAUCCCAGAUCCACCCAGCAGUCCUGCGUGCCUGGGGACCUCCUCUAAAACGUGCGACUCUCAUUUUCCAAAGCCGCCGACCUCACCGGCCCCUGCUGCGGCCUGGAGAGCGCCAUCUCUGGGACCCCCUCCCACCGCCGUCCUCUCAGCUGUUCAUUUCGGGGGAGUUGACCGUGCAUGCACAUUUCUCUGAGACCGGGAACACAGGUUUGACUCAGGCCCCUCAACCACCAGCUCCUCUCUGCCAACCCAGGGAGCCUCUCUCCGCAACAGGCCCCCCCCAACAGGCAGCGAGAUCUGCCAAUAGCAGUGCAGUAGAAGGCGGGCCUUGGGAUACCCUGGGCAUUGAUAGGCUCUACUUCACCACGGAGCCACUGACAGACCAAUAGCUAUGCACAGGAGGUGGCCAAUGGGAGGUGUGUGGGCCUGAGACCGGCUACAAACAAGGAACUUAAUGUUGCUUUUAAAUCAGUGAUGAGGCAACAGUAAUUGUUCCAUCGAAAUCCUUAAUAAAAGUAGAGUGUGGAAGUUUCCACUUCUGUACAUUCCUAGAAGGGAUUUUUAAUAUACAACCCUGGGGGGAGAGGUGUAGGAAAUUUACAAGUAAGUGAAUUUAACCAUGACUUUUUAACUGUUCUUAUUAAAAAGUCUUUCUUAGCAAAA